UGGGGAAUAUUGGACAAUGGGGGCAACCCUGAUCCAGCCAUGCCGCGUGCGUGAAGAAGGCCUUAGGGUUGUAAAGCGCUUUCAGCGGGGACGAUGAUGACGGUACCCGCAGAAGAAGCCCCGGCUAACUCCGUGCCAGCAGCCGCGGUAAUACGGAGGGGGCAGGCGUUGUUCGGAAUUACUGGGCGUAAAGGGCGCGUAGGCGGCACAUCAAGUCAGAGGUGAAAGCCCCGGGCUCAACCUGGGAAUUGCCUUUGAAACUGAUGAGCUAGAGUCCGGAAGAGGAUAGCGGAAUUCCCAGUGUAGAGGUGAAAUUCGUAGAUAUUGGGAAGAACACCAGUGGCGAAGGCGCUCAACUGGGCCGCAACUGACGCUGAUGGACGAAAGCUAGGGGAGCGAAAGGGAUUAGAUACCCCCGUAGUCC
rnacentral:rRNA from 1 species